GACGAACGCUGGCGGCGUGCUUAACACAUGCAAGUCGAACGGAAAGGCCCUGCUUGCAGGGUGCUCGAGUGGCGAACGGGUGAGUAACACGUGGGUGAUCUGCCCCUUACUUUGGGAUAAGCCUGGGAAACUGGGUCUAAUACUGGAUAGGACCAUGCUGUAGGUGGUGUGGUGGAAAGAUUAGUUUCGGUAAGGGAUGAGCUCGCGGCCUAUCAGCUUGUUGGUGGGGUAAUGGCCUACCAAGGCGUCGACGGGUAGCCGGCCUGAGAGGGUGGACGGCCACAUUGGGACUGAGAUACGGCCCAGACUCCUACGGGAGGCAGCAGUGGGGAAUAUUGCACAAUGGGCGCAAGCCUGAUGCAGCGAUGCCGCGUGGGGGAUGACGGCCUUCGGGUUGUAAACUCCUUUCAGCCAUGACGAAGCCCUUGUGGUGACGGUAGUGGUAGAAGAAGCACCGGCUAACUACGUG
rnacentral:rRNA from 1 species